UGUGCAUCAGAGUCAAAUGCUCAAAUGCCUAUGGUGGUUAUUCAUGCACCUGGUUAUUUAAGUAUUACCAUGAUUUCAU
rnacentral:pre_miRNA from 12 species